AUUGAACGCUGGCGGCAGGCCUAACACAUGCAAGUAGAACGAGAGGCGGACGGGCGAGUAAUGUCUGGGUAUCUGACUGAUGGAGGGGGAUAACUACUGGACACGGUAGCUAAUACCGCAUUCACUCAGAUGUGCCCUGAUGGGAUUAGCUUGUUGGUGGGGUAACGGCUCACCAAGGCGAUGAUCCAUAGCUGGUCUGAGAGGAUGACCAGUCACACUGGAACUGAGACACGGUCCAGACUCCUACGGGAGGCAGCUGUGGGGAAUAUUGGAAGAUGGGCGGAAGCCUGGUGCAGCCAUGCCGCGGGUAUGAAGAAGGCCUUCGGGUUGUAAAGUACUUUCAGCGGGGAGGCGUUACCCGCAGAAUAAGCACCGGCUAACGCCUUGCCAGCAGCCGCGGUAAUAC
rnacentral:rRNA from 1 species